AUAUCAAUAAGCGGAGGAAAAGAAACUAACAAGGAUUCCCCUAGUAACGGCGAGUGAAGAGGGAUGAGCUCAAAUUUGAAAUCUGGCGGUCUUCAGGCCGCCCGAGUUGUAAUCUAGAGAGGUGUUUUCCGUGCCAGGCCGUGUACAAGUCCCUUGGAACAGGGCGUCAUAGAGGGUGAGAAUCCCGUCCAUGACACGGACUCUGGUGCCCUGUGAUACGCCUUCAAAGAGUCGAGUUGUUUGGGAAUGCAGCUCAAAAUGGGUGGUAAAUUCCAUCUAAAGCUAAAUACAGGCGAGAGACCGAUAGCGAACAAGUACCGUGAGGGAAAGAUGAAAAGAACUCUGGAAAGAGAGUUAAACAGUAC
rnacentral:rRNA from 1 species